AUUGAACGCUGGCGGCAGGCCUAACACAUGCAAGUCGAGCGAGCGGCGGACGGGUGAGUAAUGUAUGGGGACUGCCCGCUAGAGGGGGAUAACUACUGGAAACGGUAACUAAUACCGCAUACUAUCGGAUAACCCAUAUGGGAUAAGCUAGUAGGUGAGGUAAUGGCUCACCUAGGCGACGAUCCCUAGCUGGUCUGAGAGGAUGAUCAGCAACACUGGGACUGAGAAACGGCCCAGACUCCAACGGAGGCAGCAGUGGGGAAUAUUGCCCAAUGGGCGCAAGCCUGAUGCAGCCAUGCGGCGUGUAUGAAGAAGGCCUUAGGGUUGUAAAGUACUUUCAGUCGGGAGGCGUUACCGACAGAAGAAGCACCGGCUAACUCCGUGCCAGCAGCCGCGGUAAUUC
rnacentral:rRNA from 1 species